UUCGUAUUGACUCAUUCCUCCCGGAAGAUCAAGGCCGCCUUCUCCGUCACGUCUCCGCCGCUGCUACCUCCCUGCCGUAGCGGCCGGAAUCAUCAGACGGCGACGAGGGGCGUUGCGACUAAUGGGGAAGAAACGGCGACGGCGUUUCUUGAAGGUGCAGGAUGGGCGCCUCGAGUCGGAGGUCCCAGUCUUCUGUCAUCGACGAGCGAACCCCAGGUGCGCUUCUGUACACGAUGUCGCCCUUCUCUGCACGAACUUGCCUGAGAUCUGCCAUGAGAGACAGAGAUUUUCCAUGAGAGACGGCAUUGUGCUUAUGCCUCCAUGAGAUGUAUGUCCUGCCUUUUUUUCUUAUCAGCGGCUCACAUGUCCUCUGUGAUCUCCAUAAUUCAUGCGAAAGUUCAUCGUAUAGGUGGAUUGACAGAGUCGGUGGCAUUUCGUGCAUUCUAAGAACAUCACCAAUUUGAAAUUUCAGCCUGGUAAGUGGUUCCCCUCAUAUGCGUUGUAAAUCCUCUUCAGGUAAUGUAUCUCAAUAUAUUUGGUAGCUUAUUCUUUGAAUUACUUGUUCUUUAACUACAUACACGAAAUUGUUUCUCAUGUUUACCUGUUAGUUGCAUGAUUGAUUUGUGUUUGUCCGGUGAAUAAUCUAUUAAUUGAACAAUUAAAUUAACGAAAAGACAUGCAUGGCAAGAAAAUUUAGGUAUCUGCAUUGUAUGUACUGCUCAAUGGUUAAAGUGAAUCAAACAUGCCGCUCAUGCAGUUGCUGUUCGCUUGGAUUCAUCAGCAAAUAUUUAGCCUAAACUUCAUAUACUCACAUAAUACGUGAAAGAUAGCCAGUCUAUUUUAUGAAUUGCUAAACCCGACCACAUUAGGCAGGCAUAUAUAUUUCUAUUUUUUAACACAAUAGUUCUGCUUGAUGCAGACAACUAAGCCACUCAGGGGCAUGCCUGACACAUGAACCGGGGCAUAACAUUUACCACAUGAAUUUAGUGCAACUGAAAGUUUUGGUUGUUUAUAGUUUUUUAAAGUGCUCAAUAUCUUCAGUUAUGGUAUCUUAAAUUGUCAAAUUUAUUGCAAGAAAGACAUGAUUGGUCAGAUUGUUUGAUAAUUUUUGAGAGUGAUCUUCGUUCCCUGAUCGAAAGAAAUCCAUUCUGCAUUUCAUUUGUCUUGCUCAGACUUGUGUAGUUUCUCAUGGUACUCAUUGUUUUGAUGAAAGCAUAUAUGUAACUCAAAUGUGAGAGUUAUUGAGUAGCAGUCUUUUUUGUCUAGCAAGAUUGUUAGUUUUCACUUGGCAAGUGAUUGUUUUUGUGCAGCAUACAAGCAUACUGAUUAGUUCAUUAAAAUGGUGGUUCCAAACUUAUGUAAGGUAGCUGCAAACUGCUGAAUCUAUGCUUGAUUAUCUGAUAAUUUUGCAGCUUAUUUUCUGAUACACCACAAAGUAUGCAUGGAGUCAUGGAAUGUGCUCUUCACUUUCUAUCUAAGCUGAAUCUCAUUGUUCAAUGCCAGGUUAUUGCUUGACAACUCAAUGAGAUCAGCCAUAUAGUUGCAGAACUUAUGUAUUGAGGAAGCAUCGACAGUAGAUCUGUUUCCUCCCUUCUCAACCUCAUAUUAAGUUGAUUCCAAGCAAUUUGGGAUUAGAUGAAGAAGACAUAGUAGCAGGAGGAAGGAAACCUCUUUUAAUGAUUGCUAUGAUAAUAUAAUAAUGCCUCUUUUUAAUGCAAUUUCAUUGCAUUAGCGCGGAGUGCUACCAGGUAUGCAACAUCUAGGUACAACUUACUCUUGAUCCUUAAAAUGUGUAGAGUGUCUGGUUUCUUAGUCUUGGUUCUUAAAAUGUCAAGAUUUUCUGAUUAGUCUAGAAAUAUCAAAAACAAUCUCACUUGCUCAUAAAUUUUUAAAGGCUGAUACAUGUGUAUCUCAGUGUUCUAA